UCUCCUCACUCUUUUCUCUACUUUCUCUCUCUAAAAUUUUUUCUCUCUAGAUUAUUUCUUUCUCCUAAAAUUUUUUAGAAUUAUGAGAAGAGUAAUGAUGAGUUUGAAUGAUUCUAGUGAAAGCAUCUUGAUCCGUAAUCGUCAGACAAUAUGUCAGCACCUUGAUCAAACCAUGAACCACUAGAUUUGAUCAUUCAUGACUUUAUUUUGAAUCAUCUAUAAACUGGUUUAACCAUGACUUGAUUCGAUUAUUUUGAUUGGACUGAUCGUGAUGUUGGACUAUGUCAUCUGAUCAAUUUGGAUUGUACCUCAUAAAUUCUCUCUCCUCU
rnacentral:lncRNA from 1 species